GAACGAUUUACGGGCAAAAAUGACGUGAGAAUGGCGAAACUUACCUAAUGACUCCUCACUUGAGGGUCACAAGCGUUAUUAGCGACGUAUCUCACCACUGAUGACGUCCCUUUGUCUUCUCUCUUCACGAUAAUCCCGAUACAACUGUCAGGAACUGUAUUGAGGUAUUUUUAAACACUGUUGUUUUUGGAAUUGUACUAGUGAGAGACUCUAUUGUUUAUUAUGAAUAUCAAUGCCUGCGAUGCCAAUCACUAUUGCAAUAAAUUCGACUCACCGGCUGUGAUGAUGAUGAAAACAUCAGACGGUUUAUGUCAACCACGUUUUAAGGAAAUUCUGAUGGAAUUUUCAUUUGGCGACAAAAGAUGGAAGAGCGCGGGAUAUUCAAAUCACAAUGGGAAUUUCGUUUAUUUUUUACUGUGCUUUUCCACGUUCUAAUCAAUGCAAAAAUAUUAAUAAGUUCUAAAAAUAUCUGACAAAUUAGUGAUCUUUUCAAUGAAUUUAUAAUUUUUGUAAGAAAUUUUGUAGUGAUAAAAAUAAUUCAUUCAUAAGUAUAAUAUAAUAUCGUCUAUAUUUAUUUUCCUAGAUGUAUCAAUAUACAGUUUUCCAUGACAAUUAUGUAGAAUUCCCUUUUCGAUUACACAAACUGCUGAAUAGUCAUUUAACAUUCCAUGAACAAUCACUUAACAAGACAAAUAAAGGACAUCUCAGAAUAGACAAAUAUACCACCAAUUGUGUAGAAAAUGUCUUCAUUUUUUAUAAUUUAGUUAGACAUUUUUGGAAUGGAAUUGGAGAAGUUGAUGUGAGAGCUACAAGGCAGAGCAUGGGAGCGAAUUAAAUAUUUUACAAAUUAUAAU